rnacentral:lncRNA from 1 species
GCUAGGGAUAUCUCCCCUCCCCCGCUCCCUCUGUCUCCCUCUCUCCCUCCCCUCUCCCCUCUCCCAUGAGAGGACACAGCCAGAAGGAGACCGUCUGCAAGCCAAGGAGAGAAGCCUCACCAGCCAUGGAAUCUAUAGGCACCUUGAUGUUGGACUUCCAGCCUCCAGAGCUAUGGAAGCCAACCGUCGGGAGCACACACACCACAUUACAAGGAUCCCAGCCAGGCCCAGGAGGGGAAGCAAGGACACCCUAGAGGCAGAGAGAACUGGCAGGCUGGAGUGGAAUGGUGUGAUCAUAGCACACUACAGCCUCUCUACCUCCUGGGCUCAAGCGAUCCUCACGUCUCAGCCUCCUGAGUAACUGUGACUACAGUGUUGGAGGUGGAGCCUGAUGAAGGGUGACUGAGUCAUGUGGGUGGCAUUCUCAUGAAUGGGUUAGCACCAUCCUCUUGGUGCUGUUCUCAUGGUAAGAGUUCUCAGGAGAUCUGGUUGUUUAGAAGUGUGUGACACCUCCCCACCAUCUCACUCUCUCUUCUUUCUGCUCCAGCCAUGUAAGACAUGCCUGUGCCUGCUUCCCCUUUGCCUUCUGCCAUGACUGAAAGUUUCCUAAGGCCUCCUCAGAAGCCGAGCAGAUGCCAGCAUCAUGCUUCCUCUAAAGCCUGUGGAACCAUGAGCCAAAUGAAGUCUUGCUCUACCAUCCAGGCUGGAGUGAAGUGGCAUGAUCUCAGCUCACUGGAAUGUCCACCUCCUAGGUUCAAGUGAUUCUCCUGCCUCAGCCUCCCAAGUGGCUGGGAUUACAGGAUUUUUCAUGGGCCGAUCUGCUGAAUUCAGCCUAGGAGCUGAGACCAACAUCUGAGUCUCUUCAGCACACAAGUUUGAAAGAAGUCCUAGCAACUUCAAGCUCAGAACUACGGGUGGCAGCAGCUCCCUCUUGACGUCGAAGCCUCCCAUUCCAGAGAGAGUCAAGGCCUGGAUCAAACAAAGCCCACAAGCACCGAUGACUGAGCUGCUGACUACCCCCAGCAUCUCCAACUCAACCUCCUCUUUCUGCCUCUACCCAAAUUUUAAAACUUUCAAACAUGGGUUUAAAAAUGGUAAUGAGUAAAGUUGCAUCCAAGUGUAUCAAAUAAAACUAAAUA